rnacentral:rRNA from 1 species
AUUGAACGCUGGCGGCAUGCCUUACACAUGCAAGUCGGACGGCAGCGCGGGUUUCGGCCUGGCGGCGAGUGGCGAACGGGUGAGUAAUGCAUCGGAACGUGCCCUGGAGUGGGGGAUAACUAUCCGAAAGGAUAGCUAAUACCGCAGAUUCUGUGAGCAGGAAAGCGGGGGCUCUUCGGACCUCGCGCUCUGGGAGCGGUCGAUGUCAGAUUAGCUAGUUGGUGGGGUAAAGGCUUACCAAGGGGACGAUCUGUAGCGGGUCUGAGAGGAUGAUCCGCAACACUGGGACUGAGACACGGCCCAGACUCCUACGGGAGGCAGCAGUGGGGAAUUUUGGACAAUGGGGGCAACCCUGAUCCAGCCAUGCCGCGUGAGUGAAGAAGGCCUUCGGGUUGUAAAGCUCUUUCGGCCGGGAAGAAAUUGGUGGGGUGAAUAAUCUCACUAGAUGACGGUACCGGAGUAAGAAGCACCGGCUAACUACGUGCCAGCCGCCGCGGUAACAC